rnacentral:rRNA from 1 species
UACGGGGGGGGCAAGCGUUGUUCGGAAUUACUGGGCGUAAAGGGCUCGUAGGUGCAGCCAACUAGUCAGACGUGAAAUCCCUCGGCUUAACCGGGGAACUGCAUCUGAUACUGGAUGGCUUGAGUUCGGGAGAGGGAUGCGGAAUUCCAGGUGUAGCGGUGAAAUGCGUAGAUAUCUGGAGGAACACCGGUGGCGAAGGCGGCAUCCUGGACCGACACUGACGCUGAGGAGCGAAAGCCAGGGGAGCAAACGGG